AGUGAACGCUGGCGGUAGGCCUAACACAUGCAAGUCGAACGGCAGCACAGUAAGAGCUUGCUCUUACGGGUGGCGAGUGGCGGACGGGUGAGGAAUACAUCGGAAUCUACUUUUUCGUGGGGGAUAACGUAGGGAAACUUACGCUAAUACCGCAUACGACCUACGGGUGAAAGCAGGGGAUCUUCGGACCUUGCGCGAUUGAAUGAGCCGAUGUCGGAUUAGCUAGUUGGCGGGGUAAAGGCCCACCAAGGCGACGAUCCGUAGCUGGUCUGAGAGGAUGAUCAGCCACACGGGAACGGAGACACGGACCAGACUCCUGCGGGAGGCAGCAGUGUGGAAUAGGAGGCAAUGGUCGCAAGCCUUAUCCAGCCAUACCGCGUGGGUGAAGGAAGCCUUCGGGUUGUAAAGCCCUUUUGUUGGGAAAGAAAAGCAGCAGGUUAAGACCCCGCUGUUCUGACGGUACCCAAAGAAUAAGCACCGGCUAACUACGUG
rnacentral:rRNA from 1 species